AUUGAACGCUGGCGGCAUGCCUUACACAUGCAAGUCGAACGGUAACGGGCCUUCGGGUGCCGCCGAGUGGCGGACGGGGGAGUAAUACAUCGGAACGUGCCCGAUCGUGGGGGUUAACGAGGCGAAAGCUUUGCUAAUACCGCAUACGAUCUACGGAUGAAAGCAGGGGACCGCAAGGCCUUGCGCGGACGGGGCGGCCGAUGGCAGAUUAGGUAGUUGGUGGGAUAAAAGCUUACCAAGCCGACGAUCUGUAGCUGGUCUGAGAGGAUGAUCAGCCACACUGGAACUGAGACACGGCCCAGACUCCUACGGUAGGCAGCAGUGGGGAAUUUUGGACAAUGGGCGCAAGCCUGAUCCAGCCAUGCCGCGUGCAGGAUGAAGGCCUUCGGGUUGUAAACUGCUUUUGUACGGAACGAAAAGCCUUCUUUUAAUACAGGAGGGUCAUGACGGUACCGUAAGAAUAAGCACCGGCUAACUACGUG
rnacentral:rRNA from 1 species